rnacentral:rRNA from 1 species
UACAGGGGGGGCAAGCGUUGUUCGGAAUUACUGGGCGUAAAGCGCGCGUAGGUGGUUUGUUAAGUUGGAUGUGAAAUCCCCGGGCUCAACCUGGGAACUGCAUCCAAAACUGGCAAGCUAGAGUAUGGUAGAGGGUGGUGGAAUUUCCUGUGUAGCGGUGAAAUGCGUAGAUAUAGGAAGGAACACCAGUGGCGAAGGCGACCACCUGGACUGAUACUGACACUGAGGUGCGAAAGCGUGGGGAGCAAACAGG